rnacentral:rRNA from 1 species
UACGUAGGGGGCAAGCGUUGUCCGGAUUCAUUGGGCGUAAAGAGCGUGUAGGCGGCCAGGUAGGUCGGUUGUGAAAACUGGAGGCUCAACCUUCAGACGUCGACCGAAACCAUCUGGCUAGAGUCCGGGAGAGGAGAGUGGAAUUCCUGGUGUAGCGGUGAAAUGCGCAGAUAUCAGGAAGAACACCCGUGGCGAAGGCGAAUCCCUGGAAAAUACCUGACACUGAGGCGCGAAAGCCAGGGGAGCGAACGGG